AAAAAUUAGGAUUUUUUUUCUCAUUUGGUUUGCCUCCCAAAAUUCUUGUUUUAUUUUUACUAUACCAUGCUGCUUCUCAGACAUGACUGACUGCCCUUUCUUCCAUGAAGAAGAAGAAGAUUGGC